rnacentral:rRNA from 1 species
AGGACGAACGCUGGCGGCGUGCCUAACACAUGCAAGUCGAGCGAGGAGAUCCUCGGGAUGAUCCUAGCGGCGGACGGGUGAGUAACACGUGGGCAACCUGCCUCAUAGAGAGGAAUAGCCUUCCGAAAGGGAGAUUAAUACCUCAUAACAUUGCAGUUUCGCAUGGAACAGCAAUUAAAGGAGCAAUCCGCUAUGAGAUGGGGCCCCGCGGCGCAUUAGCUAGUUGGUGAGGUAACGGCUCACCAAGGCGACGAUGCGUAGCCGACCUGAGAGGGUGAUCGGCCACAUUGGGACUGAGACACGGCCCAGACUCCUACGGGAGGCAGCAGUGGGGAAUAUUGCACAAUGGGGGAAACCCUGAUGCAAGCAACGCCGCGUGAGUGAUGACGGCCUUCGGGUUGUAAAGCUCUGUCUUCAGGGACGAUAAUGACGGUACCUGAGGAGGAAGCCACGGCUAACUACGUGCCAGCAGCCGC